rnacentral:rRNA from 1 species
UACGUAGGUGGUCUAUUAAGUCAGAUGUGAAAGCCCCGGGCUUAACCUGGGAACUGCAUUUGAUACUGGUAAACUAGAGUAUGGUAGAGGGGUAGAAUUCCUAGUGUAGCGGUGAAAUGCGUAGAUAUUAGGAGGAAUACCAGUGGCGAAGGCGGCCCCCUGGACCAAUACUGACACUGAGGUACGAAAGCGUGGGGAGCGAACA